UACGUAGGGUCCGAGCGUUGUCCGGAUUUAUUGGGCGUAAAGAGCUCGUAGGCGGUUCCGUAAGUCAGAUGUGAAAACUCAGGGCUCAACCCGGAGACGCCAUCUGAUACUGCGGUGACUGGAGUCUGGUAGGGGAACACGGAAUUCCUGGUGUAGCGGUGAAAUGCGCAGAUAUCAGGAAGAACACCCGUGGCGAAGGCGGCUCUCUGGAACGCAACUGACGCUGAGACGCGAAAGCGUGGGGAGCAAACAGG
rnacentral:rRNA from 1 species